rnacentral:snRNA from 1 species
UGUGCUUCAACAACACACUGAAAUUGGAACAAUUAGAGGAAUUAGCACGGCCCCUGCACAAAGAUGACAUGCAAUAUAUGAAGCAUUCAUCGAUGGGU